rnacentral:rRNA from 1 species
UACGGAGGGGGUUAGCGUUGUUCGGAAUUACUGGGCGUAAAGCGCGCGUAGGCGGACCAGAAAGUUGGGGGUGAAAUCCCGGGGCUCAACCCCGGAACGGCCUCCAAAACUCCUGGUCUUGAGUUCGAGAGAGGUGAGUGGAAUUCCGAGUGUAGAGGUGAAAUUCGUAGAUAUUCGGAGGAACACCGGUGGCGAAGGCGGCUCACUGGCUCGAUACUGACGCUGAGGUGCGAAAGUGUGGGGAGCAAACAGG